rnacentral:rRNA from 1 species
CCUACGGGAGGCAGCAGUAAGGAAUAUUGGUCAAUGGAGGCAACUCUGAACCAGCCAUGCCGCGUGCAGGAAGAAGGCCCUAUGGGUCGUAAACUGCUUUUGUACCAGAGAAAACCCGAGUACGUGUACUCGGUUGAUAGUAUGGUAAGAAUAAGCAUCGGCUAACUUCGUGCCAGCAGCCGCGGUAAGACGAAGGAUGCAAGCGUUAUCCGGAUUCAUUGGGUUUAAAGGGUGCGUAGGCGGACUGAUAAGUCAGUGGUGAAAUCUCUCGGCUUAACCGAGAAACUGCCAUUGAUACUGUUAGUCUAGAGUAUAGAUGACGUUGGCGGAAUAUGACAUGUAGUGGUGAAAUACUUAGAUAUGUCAUAGAACACCGAUUGCGAAGGCAGCUAACGAAACUAUAACUGACGCUGAGGCACGAAAGUGCGGGGAUCAAACAGGAUUAGAUACCCUGGUAGUCCGCACCGUAAACGAUGAUUACUCGUUGUUGGCAAUAUGACCGUCAGCGACCAAGCGAAAGCGAUAAGUAAUCCACCUGGGGAGUACGCCGGCAACGGUGAAACUCAAAGGAAUUGACGGCNGAGAGAGCGACGGACGACGACGAGGGAGGAGG